rnacentral:rRNA from 1 species
CACAAGCGGUGGAGUAUGUGGUUUAAUUCGAUGCAACGCGAAGAACCUUACCUGGUCUUGACAUCCCGGAGACCCUUAGGAAACUAGGGGUGCUUCCAUCUGGAAGAAUCUGGAGACAGGUGCUGCAUGGCUGUCGUCAGCUCGUGUCGUGAGAUGUUGGGUUAAGUCCCGCAACGAGCGCAACCCUUGCCUUUAGUUGCCAGCAGUUCGGCUGGGCACUCUAAAGGGACUGCCGGUGUUAAACCGGAGGAAGGUGGGGAUGACGUCAAGUCCUCAUGGCCUUUAUGACCAGGGCUACACACGUACUACAAUGGCCGAUACAAAGGGCAGCGACACUGCGAGGUGAAGCCAAUCCCGUAAAAUCGGUCUCAGUCCGGGUUGGAGUCUGCAACUCGACUCCAUGAAGUUGGAAUCGCUAGUAAUCGUGGAUCAGCAUGCCACGGUGAAUACGUUCCCGGGCCUU